rnacentral:rRNA from 1 species
UACGUAGGGGGCAAGCGUUGUCCGGAUUUACUGGGCGUAAAGAGCGCGUAGGCGGAAGUUUAAGCGGUGCCUGAAAGCCCCCGGCUCAACCGGGGAGGGUGGUGCCGAACUGGGCUUCUUGAGGGCGAUAGAGGAGAGUGGAAUUCCGGGUGUAGCGGUGAAAUGCGUAGAGAUCCGGAGGAACACCAGUGGCGCAGGCGGCUCUCUGGGUCGACCCUGACGCUGAGGCGCGAAAGCGUGGGGAGCGAACAGG